rnacentral:rRNA from 1 species
UACGUAGGGGGCUAGCGUUGUCCGGAAUCAUUGGGCGUAAAGCGUGCGUAGGCGGUUUGUUAAGUCUGUUGUGAAAGCCCCGGGCUCAACCUGGGAAUGGCAAUGGAAACUGGCGAGCUAGAGUACGGUAGAGGAGAGUGGAAUUCCCGGUGUAGCAGUGAAAUGCGUAGAGAUCGGGAGGAACAUCAGUUGCGAAGGCGGCUCUCUGGACCAGUACUGACGCUGAGGCACGAAAGCGUGGGGAGCAAACAGG